rnacentral:rRNA from 1 species
CCCUUAGAUGUUCUGGGCCGCACGCGCGCUACACUGAUGCAUUCAACAAGUUCACCUUGGCCGAGAGGCUUGGACAAUCUUUUGAACAUGCAUCGUGAUAGGGAUAGAUUAUUGCAAUUAUUAAUCUUGAACGAGGAAUUCCUAGUAAACGUAGAUCAUCAAUCUGCAUUGAUUACGUCCCUGCCCUUUGUACACACCGCCCGUCGCACCUACCGAUUGAAUGGUCCGGUGAAGCCUCGAGAUUGUGGCCAGCUCGCUUUAUUGGGGGUUGGUUGCGAGAACUUGUCUAAACCUUAUCAUUUAGAGGAAGGUGAAGUCGUAACA